rnacentral:rRNA from 1 species
AUUGAACGCUGGCGGCAGGCCUAACACAUGCAAGUCGAGCGGAUGAAGGGAGCUUGCUCCUGGAUUCAGCGGCGGACGGGUGAGUAAUGCCUAGGAAUCUGCCUGGUCGUGGGGGAUAACGUCCGGAAACGGGCGCUAAUACCGCAUACGUCCUGAGGUAGAAAGUGGGGGAUCUUCGGACCUCACGCUAUCAGAUGAGCCUAGGUCGGAUUAGCUAGUUGGUGGGGUAAAGGCCUACCAAGGCGACGAUCCGUAACUGGUCUGAGAGGAUGAUCAGUCACACUGGAACUGAGACACGGUCCAGACUCCUACGGGAGGCAGCAGUGGGGAAUAUUGGACAAUGGGCGAAAGCCUGAUCCAGCCAUGCCGCGUGUGUGAAGAAGGUCUUCGGAUUGUAAAGCACUUUAAGUUGGGAGGAAGGGCAGUAAGUUAAUACCUUGCUGUUUUGACGGUACCAACAGAAUAAGCACCGGCUAACUUCGUG